UCGCAACGGCACAAAGAGAAACCCUGCUCUCUCUAAAUUUAUGCUGUAUAGAAAAUGGGGGUUGGUUCUGUUGAAACUUUUAUCAAAUUACGAUUAACCCAGUAAUAUUUCAUGUUCCUAACAUGAGUGUGUUCAGCAGCAGUAAGGAACGACAACCGUUAGUUUUUGUAUGUUAUAUCGUAAUCAGUGGCGGUUCCAUAAAUUUUCAUAAGUGGGGGUCCACUGACUGACCUAAGAGGGGGCCCGCUCGAGUCACGCUUCAGUGAUUCCCAUAAAAGCAACAAUUUUUUUUCCAAAAAAGGGGGGAGGCCGAGCCCGGGCCCCCUGCCCCCUAAAUCCGCCCCUGGUAAUUCCCCCCUUUUCUCAUUUAGAGAAUCGCGUGUUCUUAGGUCUUAGAUUGUUUCUGUUGAAUUUAUAUAUAUCUCCUACGAAAUCGAGACAAUUUAGAGCGACAUGGUUUGUUUGUGUGGUCAUUUGUCUGUCUGUCUGUCUGUCUGUCGGAGGAUGUAUGUAUGCAUCAAGAUGUCCCUGAUUCUCCUAUUCUGUAAUAUCAGUCACUGUACUUCCUGAGAAAAUGCCUAAGAGCAACACGAUAAACAGUAUAGAAGGCCAUAUCUGAGGGUCUGCAUGGGGAGUCUUUCAAUUAUGUAUUCUUUGAAUAUUUUCAAGUAGCUGUUUUUCUCUAUUAUUUAUAAAUUUAGCCCAUUAUUCUCUAAUCUCUAUAAUUCAACACUCCUUCAUUCUAUAUUACUAGUACUUAAUUGUUUGGCCUAUUUUUUUUAAUUCUUUCAUGUUUUGUCCCAUUUGUAUCUUCUCAUUAUUCUCUAUUCAGUAUACCCCAUCCAGAUCCUCAUAUGUGUGUGCAAUUCAUUGCAAUAUUUAAACUACAUAUUAACCUUGUCCUACCGCGUCAGAGAGUUUUAUGAACAUUGGCGGAAGUUGUUUCAUGAUUAAGAGAGGUA
rnacentral:lncRNA from 1 species